GCGGAUCAUUAAAGUGGAGACUGGCGGCAAAUGUUCAGGGCCGAAAAGUGAAGGAUAUCAAGCAAAACUGGCAAGCCAUCAGUGCAGCAGCCACCGAAACAAAGGAAAGAUUGACAAUCACGAAGUUUGGUGGCCGGUCGUUGGGGAAGACAGUUUUGACGUGGAAAAUUUGCAUCAUGACCUUGAUCUGACGAUCUCUCCGCGUCAGAAACCGAAUACUGGCGGCACCAGCCUCAAAGUAGCCAGAUUUCGUUGCCCAACGGUGGGCACCCGCAAAUCACGAUCGCCGUCUCCGUUGAAAAAAAAAUGAAUCGAUUUGUACGAGGCGGGAGCAAGCAUCUUCGGUAGCGCGUUCGAAUAGUCAAGACUCUUAGACGUUUGAACAUUGGACGUCAAGUGUGUGACAGCAUGAUUCACUUAACAGCCAACCGUGGAAUGUUGCCC